rnacentral:rRNA from 1 species
ACGGAGGAUGCGAGCGUUAUCCGGAUUCAUUGGGUUUAAAGGGUGCGUAGGCGGACUAUUAAGUCAGUGGUGAAAUCCUGCAGCUUAACUGCAGAACUGCCAUUGAUACUGAUAGCCUUGAGUUUGGUUAAGGUAGGCGGAAUGUGUAAUGUGGCGGUGAAAUGCUGAGCUAUGGCGCAGAGCACCGAUGGCGUAGGCAGCUUACGGAGCAGACACUGACGCUGAGGCACGAAAGCGUAGGGAUGGAGGGG